ensembl:lncRNA
UUUUUACAGGAAUGCACAAGCCUUCCCAACAAACCAUGUGUCAGAUUUGCAGCAGUGGUUUUUAUCAGAUCCACUGGGGCCAAGAGAACUGUGACGUGUGUCCUGAAAACCACUACUGCCCUAGUCCUGAUGUAAAUCCGAUCCAGUGUCCCGCUGAUGCGUUCUGUCCUGAGGGCAGCACGGCCCCUGGUUACUGCAUGGAGACCUUCUUCAGAAAGGCAGGGGAGACAUGUGAACUUGCUCCUGUUACCAUUGCACUGCUUGUUAUUGGAGGAGGAGUAGGUCUUCUCUUCAUCAUCGUUUUGGUUCUGCGGAAGAGAAGAGAUAAUGACAGCGAGCUUUCCCUUGCUCGGACGCCCCUCCUGCGAAAGGACCGCACACCUGGCCGCUUCCAUGGAGUCCCUCGUGAUGCAGAGCCUGUUUAUGCAGGCUGGUGACAUUAACAACUACACUGACCUGUUUUCAGCUGCACAGAUUUUGUCUGAAAGUUUCUGUUGAGAACUUUAUAUUG